UACGUAGGGCGCAAGCGUUGUCCGGAAUUAUUGGGCGUAAAGAGCUCGUAGGCGGUCUGUUACGUCCGCUGUGAAAUCCCAGGGCUUAACCCUGGGCUUGCAGUGGAUACGGGCAGACUAGAGGUAGGUAGGGGAGAAUGGAAUUCCCGGUGUAGCGGUGAAAUGCGCAGAUAUCGGGAGGAACACCGGUGGCGAAGGCGGUUCUCUGGGCCUUACCUGACGCUGAGGAGCGAAGCGUGGGGAGCGAACAGG
rnacentral:rRNA from 1 species